GAUGAACGCUGGCGGCGUGCCUAAUACAUGCAAGUCGAGCGAACAGACGAGGAGCUUGCUCCUCUAACGUUAGCGGCGGACGGGUGAGUAACACGUGGAUAACCUACCUCUAAGACUGGGAUAACUUCGGGAAACCGGAGCUAAUACCGGAUAAUAUAUUGAACCGCAUGGUUCAAUAGUGAAAGACGGUUUUGCUGUCACUUAUAGAUGGAUCCGCGCCGCAUUAGCUAGUUGGUAAGGUAACAGCUUACCAAGGCAACGAUGCGUAGCCGACCUGAGAGGGUGAUCGGCCACACUGGAACUGAGACACGGUCCAGACUCCUACGGGAGGCAGCAGUAGGGAAUCUUCCGCAAUGGGCGAAAGCCUGACGGAGCAACGCCGCGUGAGUGAUGAAGUUCUUCGGAUCGUAAAACUCUGUUAUUAGGGAAGAACAAAUGUGUAAGUAACUAUGCACGUCUUGACGGUACCUAAUCAGAAAGCCACGGCUAACUACGU
rnacentral:rRNA from 1 species